rnacentral:rRNA from 1 species
UACGGGGGGAGCAAGCGUUGUUCGGAUUUACUGGGCGCAAAGGGCGCGUAGGCGGCCAGCACAAGUCAGUUGUGAAAUCUCCGAGCUUAACUCGGAAAGGUCAACUGAUACUGUGCGGCUAGAGUGCAGAAGGGGCAACUGGAAUUCUUGGUGUAGCGGUGAAAUGCGUAGAUAUCAAGAGGAACACCUGAGGCGAAGGCGGGUUGCUAGGCUGACACUGACGCUGAGUGCGCGAAAGCCAGGGGAGCAAACGGG